rnacentral:lncRNA from 1 species
AUCCCGGCGCAGAGACCUCGUCUGCCCCGGGAGGGGGAUCUGUGUGGUGGGGAGAGGGAGGCGGAUGCCGGGAAACCGUAGGGACGCGGUCAGAAAGGCGACGGGCUGUCGGAGUUGGAAAGGUAAAGUUGGAGGCUCGGCGGCGUCCUGCCUCCGCGCUGGCCACACCCGCCGCGGCUGCCCGGGGCAGGGAGGGAUCUGGCUGAUUCUCCCUGUACCCUGUGCCCUCGGAGCUGCCCCUCCGAGCGCCCAGAGGUCCCCGCCUGCCUGCUUCCUGGAGGCAGGGCUACCAUCAGUCCCACGCCUCGCGUGUCCGCCCCCCGCACCCCGGGGCCAAGGAAAGGGAUCGCGGUCUGGACUCCCCGGGGAGUUCCCUUGAUGAGGGGAAGGGCAGGUUUGGGGACGGCGAGGACACGCGGCGACCGGAGAGAGGCUACCUGACCCGCGCAGCCCGGACUCCCUUCCCUUCCCUUCCAGGGACGCCUGGUUUCCCCCCAAGCGAACCGGGAUGGGAAGUGACUUCAAUGAGAUUGAACUUCAGCUGGAUUGAAAGAGAGGCUAGAAGUUCCGCUUGCC